AUUAGUUAGUUGGCGGGGUAACGGCCCACCAAGACGAUGAUGCGUAGCCGACCUGAGAGGGUGACCGGCCACACUGGGACUGAGACACGGCCCAGACUCCUACGGGAGGCAGCAGUAGGGAAUUUUCGGCAAUGGGCGCAAGCCUGACCGAGCAACGCCGCGUGAGUGAAGAAGGCCUUCGGGUUGUAAAGCUCUGUUGUAAGGGAAGAAUGGCCAAGAGAGGGAAUGCUCUUGGAGUGACGGUACCUUACCAGAAAGCCACGGCUAACUACGUGCCAGCAGCCGCGGUAAUACGUAGGUGGCAAGCGUUAUCCGGAAUUAUUGGGCGUAAAGGGAGCGUAGGCGGUUUGAUAAGUCUGAGGUGAAAGUUCGGGGCUCAACUCCGAAUUGCCUUAGAAACUGUCAGACUAGAGUGCCAGGAGAGGGCAAUGGAAUUCCAUGUGUAGCGGUAAAAUGCGUAGAUAUAUGGAGGAACACCAGUGGCGAAGGCGGUUGCCUGGCCUGUAACUGACGCUGAGGCUCGAAAGCGUGGGGAGCAAAUAGGAUUAGAUACCCUAGUAGUCCACGCUGUAAAC
rnacentral:rRNA from 1 species